rnacentral:lncRNA from 1 species
CGAUAGCUGUACCUGUAAAACAAACACUACUACGAACAGUAGUAGAGAGCUGCUAGAGAAAACAGAAGCUAACAAACUGAGUUUCAUAUACAUAGUCCAGAUCCAAAAUACAAAGCUACUCGCACUGGCGAGUUAAGUCCACUAUGUACAUAAACUCGAAACAAAACAUCUACCUGCAGUAGGGGCACCUCUAGCUCAGCACGUCGGGUAGGGCUCUAACUUGCGACGCCCUUGCCUCGAUCCUGAUCCGCGGAAGGCGCAGCAGCCGAAACCUGUGGCUCUGCAAAACAGGGGGUAACAACUGGGCGUGAGAACUACUGUAAAAACAAGUAGUCCUCAGUGGGUACUGCCCAAAAUAAUAUCGGUCCACCCACUAAGCCUACAGAAGGGAACAGGAAUAGUAGUAAAAUGCAGGAAUAAAGUCUACCGCUAUCAAACACUACACUAUCAUGCUCUACACUAACCAACUGUAGAAAAUAUCCAACCUGACCCAAUCCAAUCGGGACUGUAAGCAUACCCGUCCCCGGGACUGUGAAUACACCCGUCCCUGCCCCGUUGCGACUAUCAAGCUCUAUCCACACUAACUGGUCCGUGGAGAGCAAGUCCAACUGGCAUGAGCGACACCAACGCGAAAGCACAAAGCCCAACUCCGGAGUGGCACUCGUGGGCGCUACCCAACCGAGUAUGCAGCGUAUCUCUGUCGAACUCAAUCAGGCUACAACUAGCCAAACUCAAGUGAACAGGGUCAAAACAGGUCUACAAACCAAACCCACGUGCCCUCGGCACAAUCUGUGACCAAAACAAGAAUCUGGGUCCACCGUUAUCCCGAACGGCACCCAACGACCCGAAACAGCCUAUACUCUGCUGAAAAAUAAGCUCGGCACCCCAGCACGAGCGUAAAUGCCUUCUAAACUACCCCAGAUAUCCAUCGCACUAAUACUGCAACGAUACAAUCGAAUCACGGCUACUAGAGCUAAAUCUGGUAGUUUAAGCAUAUGACGGGUCAAAAUGCAGGUUUUCUCCUAAGUCAAAUUUCAAGUCCAACAUGUAUAAUUUAAAUAUUCAUUUCAGCAUGCUUCUACAUUCAUAUUACAUUCAAGAUGCUAAUCGAUGAAUUAAAGCAUGAUAUACAAAAAUCGAACUAUACACGUCGACUAAACAUGCACUUAGGAGCGAAACCGAUGAUACACCCAUCUCGAGAGCAAAUUCCUGGCAGCACGGAACUCCCUCGGCUGCGGCACAACCUGCUGGAUCGACUGGAAAUGUCCGAGUCUCAAAAUUAAGCUAUCUCCAAGCUAUCAACAUCAAAAUCCACAAUUCAGUCCAAAUACACAGCAGCAGAGAAGAGAAGGGUUUCGACCAAGCUAACCUUCACCAAAAUCCACAAGUAAGGACUUCGUGGAUUUCUCUCGCAGUCCCGAAACCAACGAAUCAAGUCUUGUCGAAAUCCGAUGAUCCUACGUCGAGUACGAGCUGAAAUACUAACAGUCGACGAUGAAGUUCAGCAAAACAACACUUAAGCUUAAAUAUCCCAAUUCCAAUGUCAAAACUCACCUAAUGAACUCCAAAUCAGGUGAAGAGGGUCCCAAUUCCAGUACUGGGUGAUAGGGAAGGUGACUCAACUCCACAAAGCCCCUGCUUCCAAAGUUCACCCCAAAAAGAACACAAAAACUUACAAUUCUGUCCACAGCAACAACAGCAGAGGAAAACCUGAGUUCGACUAAGCUAACCUCAACUAAAAUCUGCAAUUUAGGGCUUCGUGGAUUCCUCUGGAAGUCAAGAAUCCAGAAAACCAAGUUUCGUCAAAAUCCGACCUUCCUACGUCGCGCACGAGCCAAAACACUGGAGGUCGUCGCUGAAGAACUGCAGAAUCAGCACUCCAUUAAGCUGGAUCAUGGAAGUUUGAUGCAAUUUGAGGCAAAUCCGAGGGUAGAGAUGCUAAAAGAGGCUUCUCUGUGAAGAAGGGAGGAAAAGAGCUCCCCAGGGACACUUCUCAGCUAUUUAUAGGGUGAAAAUAGGAUCAGAUGGACCUCAAGAACAAAGCUUGCAAUCUGCUGUCCCCGCAGAAACAGGCGUUUCUGGGCGCCCGGAACCAUGUUCUGGGCGACCAGAACAUCCCGACUGCACAAACCGGGCUCCUCGGACUCUCCGCUCGCGGUGUGCUGCGCCCGUAAAUGGCUCCGGCGGAACUCACCUACCGCCCUGCCACGCGUCGAAGCAAGCGAUAUUCACGAUGUCGAAUUUCCGGACCCACAUCUGGGCGCCCGGAACAUGGGAUCCGAAUUGGCUUCCAGUUUUAGUUAAAUUCAACACUCGUUUCUGGGCGACCCUAACAAUGUUCUGGGCGCCCGAAUCUGGCAAAACUCCAGUUUUGCUUAUUUGAGUGCGCCGAGUCCAAUUCUGCAUCCAAUUCGUGCAGAAUUGCCUCCGACUCAGUCCGACACUCUCCAGAGAUGUCGACCAGUCUAUAAUACUGAAGCCAAUCCUAUCCAAAGCUCAGGAACACUACACUCACCUUUAGCUGGUGGUAACCUGACUGGAGAUUAAUCUUUGAAAAGACACAAGAUCCUUGCAGCUGAUCAAACAGAUCAUCAAUGCGCGGCAAGGGAUACUUAUUCUUGAUGGUCACUUUAUUCAGCUCCCUAUAAUCCACACACAGUCUAAGUGACCCAUCCUUCUUCUUCACAAACAACACUGGCGCUCCCCAAGGCGACACACUGGAUCUCACAAACCCUCUACCCAUCAAAUCUUGAAGCUGUGCCUUUAGCUCUCUCAGCUCUGCCGGCGCCAUCCGAUAAGGUACCUUCGAGAUUGGUGCAGUUUCAGGAACUACAUCAAUCACAAACUCAAUCUCCCUCUCCGGCGGCAACGACAUCAACUCAGGGGGGAAAUACAUCCGGAAACUCGCAGACUACAGGGAUAUCCUCGAGUUCCGGCGCCGCCGUAGGUACCUCCACAACUGUCGUUAGGAAAGCGAUACACCCACUACUCAGCAUCUGUCGAGCCCUCGCUGAAGAUAUCCAUGUAGCAACCAACGUGCUCCUGCAGCCUCUAAAGUGAACUCCUCCCGGCCUGGCUUGCGGAACGUCAUCGUCCUCACUUCACAGUCGAUAGUAGCCUAGUACCGCGUCCGUCAAUCCAUACCGAGUACGACGUCGAAGUCCUGCAGCUGCCCUAACACCAACAGGUCUACGGCAAAAUCCAAGAAUCUAGCUACACCGGACAAGACCAACCACACUCCGCAACCUAUAACACAUAGUCGGGGAUCUGCACCUCUCGUGCCAAAAAUAAUGACCCUAACUCUAGACCAUGCAACAAUGCAAAUGCUCGGCUCACAAAAGAAUGGGAGGCAUCAGUAUCAACUAAAGUAUAAGUACAUAUGCCGAAAAUUAAAAUAAUACCUGCCACCAUACGGUCGGCUGCUGAAGAGUCCUCCUGGCGGUAGCUCGGUGGUGCUCCAAAAGCCUGCUGGUCAGCUGGCUGCGCUGAUGCCAUGGAUAGUGCUGGUAAUGUCGCUCUAGGACACGCUGACCUCACAUGUCCUAGCUGUCCACAAGUGUAGCAGCGGCCCUCUUUCUGCUCACACUGUCUGGGCCAGUGUGGUCCCCCACAAAUCACGCACCACAGUGUCCUCGGUGACGGUCCUUGCUGAAGCGAUCUCCUGGAAUGCUGACGCCCUGAUGAACCACGACCCUGAGAGCCAGAUCGAGAAAACCUCAGCAGACGUCUGCUACUUGUCUGUCCUCCAUCAUUUGGAAAAGGGCGCUUCCUAUCCUGGCUUUGCCCUGGUGCCGUAAUCCGCUCCUGGACGGUGUAACUCCGUGUCCCACCCAGAGUGCCUGCUGCACAGAUGCUCCUGUCUCAACGCCCGACCGCUGAGUGAUAAUCUCAUAAAUCCUCUACAACAAUACACUCUGCUGCUUGAUCACCUCUGUCAGGGCAGCCAAUUGCUCUCUCAAAUCAGGGGGUGCACUCGCCUCCGGUCGUGCACUCGGCUCUGCUUGGUUAGGCAUCUCUAGUGUUGCGACUCGAUCCCUGGUCGACGGUCAACCUCGGCAGCGAUCUGAAAGAAAAAGAACGGGGUCAGAUACCACUCAAACACUCUCGACCCAAUCAACGAAAGUCUGGAAAGCAGCCCAUAUUUUCCUCUAAAAUUAUGUUGUCUGUAGCCAACAUAAUUUCUCAGGCCAAAACAGGUACUCUUUCAAUCACUCACUCCACUCUCGGAGGAGUUAAAACAACUAAUCAUUGACUUUCGCAAUUAAAUUACGCCUCUCGCGUCUUACUUUCCUAAGGUUUGCCAAACUUAGGUUUUCUAGGUCCCAACGACCUAAUGCUAAUCUCUAAUACCAACUUAAUCUGUCACGCCCCGGAUGUCUCGUUUUCCGGGAACGCCGACAAAUCCGCCGUAUACAAAAAUUUUUUUUCUGUAUACGAAGCGACAGCUGUACCUGUAAAUAUACAAUACUACAAACAGUAGUAUAGAGCUGCUCAAGGAAACAGAACCAAAACAAACUGAGUUUCAUAUACAUAGCUCAAAAACCAAAAUGCUGAGUUACUCGCACUAGCGAGUUAAGUAUACUAUGUACAUAAACUUAAAAUAAAACAACUACCUGCAGUAGGGUGCCUCUAGCUCUGUUCGUCGGGUAGGGCUCUAACUCGCGACGCCCUUGCCUCGAUCCUGAUCUGCGGAAGGCGCAGCAGCCGAAACCUGUGGCUCUGCAAAACAGGGGUAACAACUGGGCGUGAGAACUACUGUAAAAACAAGUAGUCCUCAGUGGGUGCCGCCCAAAACAAUAUCGGUCCACCCACUAAGUCUACAGUAGGGAGCAAAGGUAAUAGGAAAAGCUGGAAAGAAAUCUACAGCUACAUAUCGCUACACUAGCAUGAUCUACACUAACCAACUGUAGUAAAAGUCACAACUGCCCCAAUCUCACUAGGGACUGUGAACACACCCGUCCCGCCUGUCGGAUCGAAUCC